GAACAGUUGUCUAGCAUCAGGUCCAUGUAUGUUGGUCUCCUGAGGCCAGAAACAUGUGUGGGGCCUGGAAACUCCUGAAGUCCUUCACUCACUUCAAGAUGACCACUUAGGUUCUGUCCAGAAAGGACAUGGACAACAGCCAUGUCUCCUUGCUGAUUCUGUUCCACUGAUGAAGUCUUCACCUCCAGAGCUCAGAACCUGGGUCUGGCCUCUGCUUUGUAGACCUGAAGGCCUCUUGAGAUGACCAGCUCCAGAGAAUAUAAGCAUAUGAAGUCUGAAGUAAGUAAACAGAAAGUUAGCUCAUAUCACAGAGGUAACAAAGCUUAGUAGCUAGAAUAUUUAUAUUGCCAUUUUUAUUCCAUAGGCACACCUAUACAAGAAGACAAAUCUUUACCUGAGGGGUACUUGAAAAUGAAUUAAACUAACGUAAUGGCACUAUACUCAGAGAGGCUGAAGAACCCAUUUUUGGAGGGGCUAGUGGGCCUGGGACUCACAACAACUCAUGCAUAUAGG
rnacentral:lncRNA from 1 species